UAACAUUUACCAAAGAAUCAAAUCUCUCCCCCUCGCCCCUUUCAUAUCUCCCAUUCUACAUCCUACUGUAGAUACGUGCAGAUAGAGACUGUAUGUCUUUUUUUGGUUUUGUUUUUGAGGGAAGGGGGGUGCCUGGAAGACUGUCUCUUUGACUUUGCUCUCAUCCCCUCUAGGACUUUAUAUCAUUGGCACGGGAAUUCCCUCCGAUCGUUUUUGUUGAAGCUUCUAUGUACCGUACGGAGCACGGAGUCCACUGUUGUUUAUAACUACAGUAAAGAAAGUAUAAAAGAAAAAUCUCACCGGCCAAAAGU
rnacentral:sRNA from 1 species